rnacentral:tmRNA from 1 species
GGGGCCGAUUAGGAUUCGACGCCGGUAGCGAAACUCUAGGUGCAUGCCGAGUUGGUAACAGAACUCGUAAAUCCACUGUUGCAACUUUCUAUAGUUGCCAAUGACGAUAACUUCAAGGGCCAAGCUCUCGCUGCUUAAUUGCAGCUGACAAGUCCUUCUGGUAGCUUCGGCUCCAGCAAUCAUCAGGGGAUGCCUGUAAACCCGAAAUGAUUGUCAUACAGAACAGGAUCGUCGUGCAGCACGUUGGGGGCGAAGCGACUAAAACUUACCCAACUCAUCCAAAGCACCCUGCCCGUCGGGCGGCUGCGGAUUAAAUCAGUAGACACGGCUAAGCAUGUAGUACCGACAGCGGAGUACUGGCGGACGGGGGUUCAAAUCCCCCCGGCUCCACCA